UACAUAUACAUCUGUAAACAAGCUUAUUGGUGUGUUUAGUGGGACAGGCAAAAAGUUAAGGUGGAGAAAAUGCGGUAGUUUAUAAAUUAAUUAUUGUUUCUGUGGUGCCCGGUAGCCAAUGUGUCACGGACCCAUACCGGCCCCCGGACCAGUGGUUGAGGACCACUGGCUUAGACAAUUGCAAUGCCGUGUUCUCUGGUAGUCUACACUUAUCACAAAACUCAUCUGCACGUGUGCCGACAAGGACUAGUUUUAAAGUGUUGGCUCAGUGUCUGCUUCAGGGUCAACUUUAUUGUUCUAUUAUUAGUUUUUAAAAUGUCUUAAUGGCCUCGUGUCUUCUUAUCUAUCUGACCUGCUUUUACCGUUAUCAACCCUCACGGAUCCUGAGAACAAAGACCCACGGUGAGGCGGCAUUUAGCCACUGUGGCCCCCCAGCUGUGGAACAGCUUGCUCGAGAGUCUCAGGACCGCAGAGAGCGUUGACAUUUGAUUUAAAAAAGGCUAAAGACACACACUUUUAAUCAGGUUUUUGACUUUUUUCAAACUGUUAUGUUUUAUUGUGUUGUUUUCCAUCUUGAUUAUUAAUAUUAUUACUGUUAUUCUGUCAAUGUUAUGUUUCUAUCAACUUGUUAAUGUAGUAUUUAUAUCUUAUUUUAACACAUAUUUUAUCAUAUGUUGGAUACUAUUUUAUAGAUGGCGUUAAUUGUAGUAAUUUUCCUUUGUGGAUGUCUUCAAAGUGGUCUUUUUUCUCAAAUCCCCACUGCCAAGCCAUGUUUUGUUUUAUUGUUCUUCUAUUUUUUUGUACAGCACUUUGUGUUUGCCACUGGCCUGUAAAUAAAGUGCAAUAAAAGUGCAAUAUAAAUAAAGUUAAAUUUAAUUUGAUUUGAUA